ACGACUCUCGGCAACGGAUAUCUCGGCUCUCGCAUCGAUGAAGAACGUAGCGAAAUGCGAUACCUGGUGUGAAUUGCAGAAUCCCGCGAACCAUCGAGUCUUUGAAUGCAAGUUGCGCCCGAGGCCACUCGGCCGAGGGCACGCCUGCCUGGGCGUCACGC
rnacentral:rRNA from 1 species